rnacentral:lncRNA from 1 species
AGCCAGGAGGAGACUUCACAUAAGGCAGCCUGAGCUUUUGAAUGCUGCCUCCACAAGGCCAGCCAAAAAAUUGGGUUUGGCUUCCGGAGAGUGUGGGAGGCUCCCGGGGCUGGAACACGGGCAGCCUGGAAGGGGCAUCCACUGUCUUGUGCAGAAUAAGUGUCUCUCCAGGAGAUGCUAGCUGGAUCUCCAGUCCUGGCACGGAUGGGAGAAGAGAUAGUUAUUUCUAGCUGAGCAGCCCAAGCCUGCAAGAGCGAGAAAGAAAACUAACAGUCUGGAGGACAAUGGCCUGGUUGAUUGAAUGGGGCCCAAGCUUGUGCAGUAGCCAUGGGAGUGAGAGGUGCAUGAGGAGGGAUGGGAAGUUUUCUGACUCUGUGUUGUAGAUGGACUCGGAAAGAGGCCGUGUGCUGACAGCUGGAGAUCCUGACAGAGGUCUGCUACAGUUCUGUGGUGUCCAUGUCUCUCCAGGCCUAUUACCCUAGCUCUGACCCUUCCUACACUGUUGGCAUCUUGCUUCAGCAACCCUUGGGAUAUGAUGUAGGGAGCAGCCCCUAACCCCUCACUGGCUCUGCAUGCGUGAAGCAGGACACCAGGAGCUUACCUCAUGGUCCUCACUUACACCAUGAUGAAGGGAACGGGAUCACAUUGAAGGGGGAGCUGUCUUAGUGAGACAUUUGAACAACGUGGCCAGUCAUUAGGCAUUCCAAAAGCCUGGUAAAGGGCAGGCUGCCUCUCCACAGGGCACUGGGGUGAGUGUCAAGUAGACCUUGGAGUUUCAUGAAAUAGCAGGGAAAGAGACUUUAAAGUGAUCAACAGUCACUGCUAUCAUGGCCAUCUCCCUAAUCUCUGUAAGUCCUGAAGGUAAAUUUUAAGGACCACACAGGUCUGCUAUCCACAUGAGGCAUGGAUACUUACAUAGCAAACCUCAGUUAGAAGUAAAUGAUAGCAACAAGUCAGAGCUGGCCCCGGGACAGCAAAGGCCUGAGUGCAUCUCUGUUCUGGGCCCUCAGCCUCCACUGCACAUAUAGACCAAUGUCCACAACCACAAGAUCCUAUCCCUCUAGUGUGUCCAGAACUGAGGCCUGGGAUGCUUGGACACUGGACUGGACGUGUCACAGGUAAAGCAGCAUCCUAUGUCACCCCAGGGAUAGGAGCUGAAUUUAUUUUGGACAGAUAGACCACAGAAGAAGUCCUCAUGGUUGCAUCCAUACCUGCUUAGCAGUGUACCUCAGCAGUGUGCUUUCCCACCACUGUAGCUGUGAGCAUCAUGAAAGAGGUCAACUGAACACGAGAUGCGGCUCAUUACACCAUGGACUUGCAUUGGUGAUACUGAAGCAUUCUGUGACUUGAGGUACCACUAAGAAGAACAAAAGCCUGAUGGUAGACUCUAGGAUGCCAUGGUCACCAAAGCAUGUUUUGACCUCAGCUCUGCUGCCAUGGGAACUGAUGUGGCCAUCACCAGGGGAGCGAACGCCUACAGCGCAUAGUCAUCUGAGGGGCUGUGAAGAAGACCAGCCAAUCUGCUUCAUGUGACUCCUAAAGCCAGGAACAGGAUUAGUGGUGUGGGUUUUGGGGCCACAGCAGCUCAAGGGAGCAAACUCUAUAGGAUCCAUUACGGUGGGCUUAUAAAUGAGCCCCAGAAUGCUGACAUUAGGCUCAGUACGGUCCAAAGAAUUACCCCUUCUUCAUCUAUAGAGAUGACCUACACUAAGGCAGGCAGGUAGAGCAGCUGCCUGCAAAGUCCUACUCAGCUUCAAGUCCCCCAGCUGAGAACUGAAAAGGGAGCUGCCCUGGGCAUCCUUUGUCCUGUUCCUGCCUGGUAAUUGACAUAGUGAAUGGUCGCUAAUGAAGAACGGAGUGGGACUUCCUGGGAAGUGACUGCAGACAGCCAGAAAGACAACUGCUAAUUACCAGUGCCAGCUGGUGGCCCUGGAGGACCAUGCAGACAGAAAAGAUGAGGGCUGGGAGGACCAGGCAGAGAGAAACUUCAGGAAAGCUGCUUUUGCUAGGGCCCUCUGCACCCAAGCACUGACUUACUCCAUGGAUGACGAAUCAAGAGGUCAAGACCAACACCAGCCAUGCUCUCUUUCCUGGUCAAGCCCGAGGAGGAGGUAUUAAACCACCAUCAUAAAUCUGCUAGUGUCCUCCAACUGACCUUGGCUGUUAGACUGGGCAGGCUUUCUUCAGUCUCAGACCCCAGCACUGAUUGCCCUUUCUGUUGCUCAUCCCCAGCUCUGACCCUGCCUGCACUGUUGGCAUUUUGAUUCAGCAACCCCUGGGAUAUGAUGUAGGGAGCAGCCCCUAACCCCUCACUGGCUCUGCGUGCGUGAAGCAGGACACCAGGAGCUUACCCCAUGGUCCUCACUUACACCAUGAUGAAGGGAACGGGAUCACGUUGAAGGGGGAGCUGUCUUAGUGAGACAUGUGAACAACGUGGCCAGUCGUUAGGCAUUCCAAAAGCCUGGUAAAGGGCAGACUGCCUCUCUGCGGGGCACUGGAGUGAAUGUCUGGUAGCUGCCUUCUUGGGUGUUUCUGCCUCAUAACUCAUCCUCCUGUAGUCUGGCGCGGUCUCUCCCCACACUGAGCAGGUCUCAGUUUCUCACACACCUGGUGCCCCGAGCGUCACACCUGUUCUUCCUCAGAUCUGUCUCCUCAUGAAUCCCUCCUCUCCCUCACCUCUGGGUCACACUGUGGGGUGUGGUCCUUCAGGGUCAAGGCCCCUGAUGGAUUGGGAUUCUGACCAGACAUACCUCUCCUAGCUACACUUGUUGUGAGCGACCCAGGACCUCCUUUCUUUCUUCCGUCUUUCCCCUCCUUCAUCUGGGCCCUGCCACUCACAGGGGUGAGCUGCUGGAGGGCAGGGAAGACUUCCGUUGUCAGAGUGGCUUGCCUGAAUCCCAGCUGCCCCUUAAUCUUAAAGAUGCUGAAAUCCUCGGCUGAAAUGGUAGCAGGAGAGCUCUGAGACUAACUCCCUUUCGCCUAUAUUGUGUGCUGGGACCAUACAAACUGACAGGUAGUAGAGCUUUGGUGGUUGGCAGUACUGGAGGCAAACAACCUACAACCCAGGGGUGGGCAGCUGGCUCUGCCUGCUGGUACUCCCUGCCCCCUUGGUAGUCUCUGCCCUGUUCCCACACAGACUUCUUGCAUGUAUCUCUCUCCAUCCUUCUUCUUUAUAGGAGAACACUAGCCAUGUGUUAAGGACUCCUUAACCCCGUGUGGCCCCACCUUAGCUAAUCUCACAGACUCUCUGUCAUACACGUUCUGGAUGUGUCUGGUGAAGGAUGCAUGCAGCCCAGCGUCCACCAUGAUGGCCUCUUAGAAUCUCAAGGUGAAGGCAUGGAACCUUCUUAUGGAAGAGAUGGGAAAUGGCUGUUCCUCCUUUUCCUUUAGAUCUUGCCCUGUGACCUGAGCCGCUUUCUCCCUGAUCCCCAUGGCUAGAUAGAUGCUGUCCUCACAGCAGAAGCCUGCUCUGCCCACCAGAGUCUAAGCAUCUGAGACACUGGAUCCUCUCCUUACCUGCAGAGAGGAGAAUGGAGCAGAAUCAAGACCCCUGAAGCCAGCACAUUCUGUGUGGCAGCUAGCCUUCCCCCCAUAAGCACGAGCAGGGCUCUGAUCCCAGAGAGACAUCACCCAUGUGCAUGUCUGCACACAUGCACACACGGUGCUCCGUGUAGCCCCGCGCUGAGUCUUCCUGCUUCGCCUCUGAGGCAGCUGAAGACUGAGGAAAGGAAAUGAGAUGGGGAAUCGCUUCUCGGGCAAUUACCCACACCUCGUAUAGUCUAAUGAGCCGUUGAGGGGCCCGGAUGGAACAUUUAGGGGGGUUAUUGAAUGUUUCCUCACAGUUUACCCAGUUCCAGGAGUUAAUUGAUUUAUGGACUGCAGGAGCAUGCGUGUCUCCGAAUAUGAGUGGGUGCCUUUUGGAUCUCUCUCUCUCUCUCUCUCUCUCUCUCUCCCUCCCCCCCCCCUCUCUCUCUCUCUCUCUCUCUCUGUGUGUGUGUGUGUGUGUGUGUGUGUGUGUGUGUGUGUGUGUGAAUUCGGGGCAUUCUGGCUAGAGGCCUGAGCUCCCUAGCUUUGGCAUCAGGCCUCCACAGCAUCUGCCUGCAUUUGCUGAGGAGAGGCCACGGAGGACGUGGCUGCACACCAAGGCAUGGGUCUGCAACCAUGCAUGCUCUCGGGACCAGGAUUCCCCUUACUGUUCCCAAAAUCCAGUUCAUCUUACCCACUCAGAUUUGUGCUAUACCUAGCACGAUAUUUUUAACUAACCUUACAUUUUUUUCUUUCAUUAGUUGUUUUAAAGCUACUACAAAAUGCUAUUGUGAAAUUGUUAUGUUUGAUAUGAUUGCUGCUCUCUUUUUCCCUUUCUUUCUGUUGAAAACAUUAUAUUUAAGUGCGUGUGGGGGGGGGGGAAGAGAGCUAGAGAGAGAGAGCUAGAGAGAGAGAGAGAGGGAGAGGGAGAGAGAGAUCAGAGACAACUUGGGAGAGUUGCUUUUCUCCUUCCACCAUGUAGGUUCCAAGGAUGGAAGUCAGCGCUUCAGUCUUGUAGCAAGUGCUCUUAGCAGCUGAGCUCUCUUAUCACCCUGCGUUCUUUUCCUGUUUGUUUUGAGACAGGAUCUCUCUUUGUUGCCCAGGCUGUCCUUCCUUUGUUGCCCAAUGGCUUCCUCUACAUUUUCCUAAUAAACAUUAAAA